GGCCCCAUCCCUCCGUCACUUUUAUCGCCAACUGCGUGUGGAGCUCUCUCAAAAUCCAUUUUCAGUGACUUGGGCCUGUUGUUAGAAGUUGCGAGCUUUUUCCUCUCCCCUUUCCUUUUCGAUUAUGAUCACCAUGCGUCUCCUUUCCUGACCAUGGUCCCCCUCCUCCCUGCCUCCCUUUGAUACUCCGUUUUCUGGCCCGUGGCCUCAGCUCCUCUCGCUGGUGCCUUCGCUGGCCUCGAUUUCCUCCUUUUCGACCGAAUCUAGUAUUGGCUGAUCCAGUGGUUUGUUAGAAGAUUAAUGGAUUCCUGGAGCUUUGUAAUCUGUGAAAGGCAUUACAAGGAAAAUUCAGAGAAUAGACGAGAACCUAGCUUUUGUGACAACAGAGACGGUGAGGUCGCGGAAGACCUAGGUGCACAUAGGCAGCGCUGUCUUCACGAUACCGGCGAUGGUGGAGAUGGGACGCCACGGCAGCGGUGGCCAGGGCCAGGGAAGCAUGCGCGGGAAGGCGAAGGUGGAUGUCGUGGACAUUCGAGUCCGGCGGCCAAAGAAGCGCAAGGAGGGAGGAGGCGAAGGUGAUCCGAUCACGUGAGGGUUGGCGGCUUUUCUCCGAUAAGCCGUCGAUAGGUCGAGCGGAUCGGCGAAGAAGGCGAAGGUUACCGGAAUUAAAUUAUGUCAUGUUAAAUUCUGACCCUCGAAAGUUAUUAUUAUUAUUAUUAUUAUUAUUAUUAUUUAUGAAAGUUGUAGACCGUUAGGGCUAUCAGAAAAAUUUAUUAAAGGGAACAUAGCCGGGAGAAAUUAUUGCAUGCACCAGGUGCAAGUGAACCAGAUAAGUACAAUCUCCCAACUGGUAAGGAAGGUUAAAAAAAUUACAUCACUUAUCAUUUGUAUCCC